GAGCUCAGUUGUGUAGAGCAUCGCACUAGUAACGCGGAGGUCAUGGGUUAAAAUCCCGUUGAAGCCA